UACGAAGGGGGCAAGCGUUGUUCGGAAUUACUGGGCGUAAAGCGCGUGUAGGCGGCAUGGCAAGUCGGGUGUGAAAGCCCUCAGCUCAACUGAGGAAGUGCGCCCGAAACUGCUUUGCUUGAGUGCUGGAGAGGGUCGCGGAAUUCCCCAAGUAGAGGUGAAAUUCGUAGAUAUGGGGAGGAACACCGGUGGCGAAGGCGGCGACCUGGACAGUAACUGACGCUGAGACGCGAAAGCGUGGGUAGCAAACAGG
rnacentral:rRNA from 1 species